ensembl:lncRNA
UACAUUUCCGAGAAGUCCAUAAAAAUCUAAAGAAAUCCAGAUGAGAUUAUAUCCUGAAGCAGAAAGCAUUUUUUUUGUGAUGUGUGAAUCUUUUGUCAUCCACAGAUGGUGAGUCUCAGAUAGAGAGAACAUGUACAGCUCAACAGUGAGAGAUGGGAUAGAUUAUAAGAGAGCCUACUCUGCUCUGAUUGGUCAGAUAUCCCAGGCUGUUGUGAUGACAGUGCGUGUUGGAAAGGAAACGCCCACUACCGUAUACGAGUUGACCAUGUCGGUUUUACCUGAUCAGUUUGAGCCAGAGUCCGAUAACGAUGCACCGGAAGAUCAACCCGAACCACCACCGUAAUCACGACGAGAACAGGACGUUCCUCAGUGGUAAGUUUAUAUGUAGUUUGGCAAUAAUGUGAGUUAGCCGGUUGCAGAGGCUAACAGCUAACACAAAACCAUGCAUUUGGAACACUCGGUAGAACAUAUAUAUAUAAAUAAUGAAUCACACUUGCAGGUUGUGAUCCAGAGGCACAAGACGGUCCAAAUAAAGUGGGUACGGCCAGCGUCUUCUAGACAUAAACCUAUCUCUUUCAAGACGCAACAUCAACCGUAGUGUUUGCGAGCGGCCAAUGAACACCAAAGACGGGGUUGCUGUUACCGACCUACGUAGGUUCAUACAGGAAGUAAGUCUGGAAUUACUGACGACUCGUUUCAGCUGUUCAGAAUCGGUUCUGUCUUUUGGGAGCCAAGAAGUCCGUUUUUCAAACUUUUUAGACUUUUUACAUUCACGAACAGGUGCACUUUAAUUCCGGUCCACGAGAGCUAACAUGCUAGCUAGCUUUAGCCUAGCUGUGUUUUUUCAGAGCUUGUUGUUCAUCACCGGCAAAUGA